AUCACUGUUACUGCUCCCACUGGAAGGCUAUUCCAGGUAUCUACUACCCUUUCUAUAUCACUGUUACUGCUCCCACUGGAAGGCUAUUCCGGGUAUCUACUACCCUUUCUAUAUCACUGUUACUGCUCCCACUGGAAGGCUAUUCCAGGUAUCUACUACCCUUUCUAUAUCACUGUUACUGCUCCCACUGGAAGGCUAUUCCAGGUAUCUACUACCCUUUCUAUAUCACUGUUACUGCUCCCACUGGAAGGCUAUUCCUGGUAUCUACUACCCUUUCUAUAUCACUGUUACUGCUCCCACUGGAAGGCUAUUCCUGGUAUCUACUACCCUUUCUAUAUCACUGUUACUGCUCCCACUGGAAGGCUAUUCCAGGUAUCUACUACCCUUUCUAUAUCACUGUUACCGCUCCCACUGGAAGGCUAUUCCUGGUAUCUACUACCCUUUCUAUAUCACUGUUACUUCUCCCACUGGAAGGCUAUUCCAGGUAUCUACU